rnacentral:rRNA from 1 species
UCAAUAAGCGGAGGAAAAGAAACCAACAGGGAUUGCCCCCAGUAACGGCGAGUGAAGCGGCAACAGCUCAAAUUUGAAAUCUGGCCCCAGGCCCGAGUUGUAAUUUGCAGAGGAUGCUUUUGGCGCGGUGCCUUCCGAGUUCCCUGGAACGGGACGCCAUAGAGGGUGAGAGCCCCGUACGGUUGGACACCAAGCCUUUGUAAAGCUCCUUCGACGAGUCGAGUAGUUUGGGAAUGCUGCUCAAAAUGGGAGGUAUAUUUCUUCUAAAGCUAAAUAUUGGCCAGAGACCGAUAGCGCACAAGUAGAGUGAUCGAAAGAUGAAAAGCACUUUGAAAAGAGGGUUAAACAGCACGUGAAAUUGUUGAAAGGGAAGCGCUUGUGACCAGACUUGCGCCCGGUGAAUCACCCAGCUCUCGCGGCUGGGGCACUUUGCCGGCACAGGCCAGCAUCAGCUUGCCGUCGGGGACAAAAGCUUCGGGAACGUAGCUCUCUUCGGGGAGUGUUAUAGCCCGUUGCAUAAUACCCUUCGGCGGGCUGAGGUACGCGCUCCGCAAGGAUGCUGGCGUAAUGGUCAUCAGCGACCCGUCUUGAAACACGGACCAAGGAGUCAACCUUAUGUGCGAGUGUUUGGGUGUUAAACCCCUACGCGUAAUGAAAGUGAACGCAGGUGAGAGCUUCGGCGCAUCAUCGACCGAUCCUGAUGUUCUCGGAUGGAUUUGAGUAAGAGCAUAUAGGGUUGGACCCGAAAGAAGGUGAACUAUGCGUGUAUAGGGUGAAGCCAGAGGAAACUCUGGUGGAGGCUCGCAGCGGUUCUGACGUGCAAAUCGAUCGUCAAAUAUGCGCAUGGGGGCGAAAGACUAAUCGAACCUUCUAGUAGCUGGUU